rnacentral:tRNA from 1 species
AUUAGGAUGAUUGAGUGGUCUAAGGCGCCAGACUCAAGUUUUGGUCCUAGUGAGAGGGCGUGAGUUCAAGUCUCACUUCUUACA